rnacentral:pre_miRNA from 1 species
AAUAAGUUUAUUUUUUAGUUUUGGAUUUAAUAUUUGACUAUUCGUUUUAUUAAAAAAUAAUUCGUGAUUAAUAUUUUUAAUGUUAUUAGAUCAUAAAACAUAAAUAAUACUUUACGUGUGACUAGUUUUCUGUGUUUUUUAUUAAUUUUUUAAAUAAGACGGUUGGUCAAACCCUGAACAUAGAAAU